rnacentral:piRNA from 1 species
UGGGAUGAAAGGAGAACCCAGGAGCAGGC